rnacentral:rRNA from 1 species
UACGUAGGUGGCGAGCGUUGUCCGGAUUUACUGGGCGUAAAGAGCGCGCAGGCGGUCGUUCAAGUCGCGUGUGAAAGCCCCCGGCUCAACUGGGGAGGGUCACGCGAUACUGAUCGACUCGAAGGCAGGAGAGGGUAGUGGAAUUCCCGGUGUAGUGGUGAAAUGCGUAGAUAUCGGGAGGAACACCAGUGGCGAAGGCGGCUCACUGGCUCAUUACUGACGCUCAGGCGCGAUAGCGUGGGGAUCAAACAGG